rnacentral:rRNA from 1 species
UACGGGGGGUGCAAGCGUUGUUCGGAAUUACUGGGCGUAAAGGGCUCGUAGGCGGCCAACUAAGUCAGACGUGAAAUCCCUCGGCUUAACCGGGGAACUGCGUCUGAUACUGGUUGGCUUGAAUCCGGGAGAGGGAUGUGGAAUUCCAGGUGUAGCGGUGAAAUGCGUAGAUAUCUGGAGGAACACCGGUGGCGAAGGCGGCAUCCUGGACCGGUAUUGACGCUGAGGAGCGAAAGCCAGGGGAGCAAACGGG